UCUGCUCUGGAUCUUCAAAAAGUU
rnacentral:piRNA from 1 species